ensembl:lncRNA
GUGAGCGGGGAAAGCGGCGGGGGGUCGGGUGGCGGUGGGCUGUGUUCCGGGCGAGCUGGGGCUGAGGGGACGGGCUGUGGAGAUUCCUGAGGGUGAAAACUGGACACAGGGAAGGUGCCUGUCCCAGACUGCACCGUCUUAAGGUCACCACUGUGAUGGCCCCGACGUGGCACCUUGUACCGCUCCCACGCUGUGUUGGUUACCUGAGUUAGCGUGCCCUGCCUCCCCAGGAGGAGGAGGCUUUGGGUGGUCAGUGAGCGGGAUGCGUGCUGGCUGCAAAGAAGCUGCUGCUGUUGUGGUGACGCUUGAGUCCAUCGGCUCAGGGCCUUGUUUUGGGUGUGUGCGUGAGAAACAGCACUGUCACAGCCUGCUGAUGCCUCGGGGGGAGACGGACGUACAGAUAAACACUGGGCAGAAAGGGGAGGAUUGAGGAUGGGUGUUUUGGAAAGUGGCCUUCGUGCAAACGACGCUGCCUGCUUAGAGAAUUGGAAAUGCAUUUUGCUGUUUUAUAAAGCAUCCAUUGUAAAAACAUCUGCGUCAAUCACUCCACACACACACUACCGAGAGCUAUAAUGAUCCCAGCCCAUAGCCUGGAGAUACUGCCUGUCCUCACAAACAACCAAAGUGGGUGGAAGUUUCAAGGGCUGCAGAAGAACAAGAAUUAAAACGAUGCUAUAGAUUUUAAAUCUACAAAGCUUUCUGCAACUAGUUAAACAUGGUAUCAUCCCCUGUGGCUUUACAGAUGGGUUUUCCUGUGUUUCGACACGUAAGGGUGCAGAACUGGAACAAACCACAGAAGAAAGUAAUUAUGGGUCUAAGCCAGAGGCUCUGAGGUUGGUGGCAAUCUUUCCGCUGACCUCGGGUGGCUUUGUGUCCAGCUGUACAUACCAAGGGAAACAGUAAAACAUGUAAUUUCAUAUCAGAGUGCUAUCAUAUGCUCAUAAAAAUAGAAAAAAGAGAAGCAUACUCCUCUGCCCGCUGCAAUCUUUUGGAAUUACAGUAAUCGAAGCCGUAACUUGAAAAGCUUGAAUUCACUGGGGACAGAUGGAUACACUUAUUGAUUUAGGGGCCUCUGUGGAUUUCAGAAUAUGCUCGUAGCCUUCCCUGCUGCUUUGUGAUGCUUUAUACUGUGCUUGGACCAUGCUAGAGCUGUGGCAGUGAGAAAGAGACUCCUCAGCAGCCAAGCCUAAGGCGUAAGCAGAAGCUGUGACUGGGAGCCUGCAAAUGGGAGGACAUCAGCGGUAGAAAGUACUUUGCAGCUGGGUGAGCCGACCAGGGCAGAGAAGUCAAAGGAAAGCCACGGAGCCAGGACAAAGCUUAAUUAAAAAAUUCCAAGACGCUGAUAUCAGAGGACUUCCUCUUGUGACAAGGCAGCUGAUCAGCAGGAGAUAUCUCGCACGUUGCUUGCAUCUACCGUGGGAGGGAAGGCUGAAGAGGUGAAGGCUGGUGCUCAAGACUAGGAAAAGCACCGAAGGCGGAGAGAAGAACGUACUACUUAGUGCAGACAUCUGUCAGAUGGGACGUUUCACCCCCCUGGUGCCACACUUCCCCUCCUGCAGGGGGAGGACAACAACCUGUUGGGAUUCCCACAGGAAAGGGGCUGCGGAAGCGCCUCGUUAUCCUGAUGUAGAACAAUGCAGGCCAUCUCUGAACUGCCUACGCUGGGCCUGGAGACAGCAGCCCCCUCUUCCUCCUGCCCUGCACUGCUGAGGAGCAUUCCUCUGUCUGAUAAACAAGUUGUCUUGCUCUGUUCCGGUGGUAGCUGCCUUGUUUGGGCGUCUCGUCUGGAGAAGGCAUCAGCAGCACUGCAGGAUGAAAGGGGACACGAAGCAGUAGGAUGGACUCAUCCGCCACAAUACUUAACGUUUAAAGAAGAGCACUAUCUGCUGCGGGGUGAGCCCGAGCCCGGGGAUCAGGGUACAAUCUUCCCUCAGAAGUGAGCAAGCAUUACCGGGUGUGCUGGCUGCUGCCGGGCACCGCUGAAUGAGGAGCCGGAGCUGACAGCGUGCUAUUACACCCUGUCCAGCUCAGCCCUGCAGCCCUCAGGACAGGAGGCGCUCACCCAGCUUCAAAGCCACACGGCUCCAAUGCAGAGCCGGCAUAGGCGUGUUCGCAGCGGCGCAUUUCAUCUUUGAAGAAACUCACUACAGACUUUAAAGGCUGUAAAAUCUCCGGGCUGAUCAGAAUACGGGAUUGGAAUACAGCAACGUAGCAUGCACGCCACAAAGCUGCCCCGGGCUCUGGCACGACCACCUACCUGUUGUCCGUGCGAUGGCAGCCACCCGGCCAGCGCUGAGGUGUGCUGCUUGGCUCCCUGCUCCUACAGAGGGGCAAAGGCUCGCUUCUUAACCCCACUCGGGCCGAGCCCAGGACCGAGAGGUGUCUGUGCCGGGGGCAGAGGAGCCUCCCGCUUGCUGCAGAGGCAGGAGCUGCUGUCCCGUCCUGCUGCGCUCCUUGCAGCCAGCGAGCCGAAUGAUCUGAUCUACUGAUCCAGCGUCGGGGAGGGUCUGGGGGGUCUGCCGCCCCGUAAUCUCACUAAACGCGUCCCUCUCACUCGUUUAAUCCCGUUGCUCUUCAUCGUGCCUUUUUGCUCUGAGCAAACCCCACCCCCGGCCCGGGGAUUACCUUCCCCAAACAUCUGCAGGCGGCUAUCGGCUCCCGCACCUCUCCUCGCCCAACCGCGCCGCGCAUAUUUACCCCUGAAAUCACCUGUCCCCACCCAAGCCAUUCGUCAAUCCUUUUCCUCUCGUCAUUAUCUCGCUUAGCAGUUUAGCAAUCGGGAGCGGGCAGAUCCUCCCGUCCUCCCCAGCGCCCCAGUCCCGCCGGCGCCGGACCAGAGGCGAGGCAGAGGACCCCCAACCUCCGCCCGGCUGCUCGCAGGUGAGCGGCGCUUCCUCCCGCAGCGAGGACGGGCGGUUCCCCGGCACGGCGGGGGCAGAGUCCCAGCAGCCGUGGCUCAGCCGGGAUGGGAGCUGCGGCCGCCGCGAGCUUUACCGGUAGGAGCGGCUUCCGGAAGCCUUCCCAGGCGGCGCGCUCACGGCG